rnacentral:rRNA from 1 species
UACAGAGGGUGCAAGCGUUGUUCGGAAUUACUGGGCGUAAAGGGCUCGUAGGUGGCCAACUAAGUCAGACGUGAAAUCCCUCGGCUUAACCGGGGAACUGCGUCUGAUACUGGAUGGCUUGAGUUUGGGAGAGGGACGCGGAAUUCCAGGUGUAGCGGUGAAAUGCGUAGAUAUCUGGAGGAACACCGGUGGCGAAGGCGGCGUCCUGGACCAACACUGACACUGAGGAGCGAAAGCCAGGGGAGCAAACGGG